AGAGCGAACGCUGGCGGCGUGCUUAACACAUGCAAGUCGAGCGGAAAGGCCCUUCGGGGUACUCGAGCGGCGAACGGGUGAGUAGCACGUGAGUAAUCUGCCCCUAGCUCUGGGAUAGCUCCGGGAAACCGGGAUUAAUACCGGAUACGACCACUUUAGACAUCUGUUGUGGUGGAAAGAAUUUUGGCUAGGGAUGAGCUCGCGGCCUAUCAGCUUGUUGGUGGGGUAAUGGCCUACCAAGGCGACGACGGGUA
rnacentral:rRNA from 1 species